AACAUACUCCCUCCGCCCCAAAAUUCUUGUCUUAGAUUUGUCUAGAUACGGAUGUACCUAAUACGUGACUUGAUACAUCCGUAUCUAGACAAAUCUAAGACAAGAAUUUUGGGACGGAGGGAGUACAUC
rnacentral:pre_miRNA from 1 species